GGAAGUCUAACCUACAAAUACGAGGAACACAACAUGAGAACUAAUGUAACAGUGGGAGGGAAGAGUCUGACAAGUGUCUGAGUGGGAGGCCGAAAGAAACAAACCUGCACAGUAAAUGGGCGUGGAGGUUUCGCAGAGUUUCAUUUCAAGCUCUCCUUCCCAUCAUUCAACAACUUAUAUGGCUCUGGGAUUCCACAGAUUCAGAAGCUGUUGUCUAAUACGGUCACAGGAGUGUUUGGACGACCGCAUGUGGGAAUUUAAACUUUUAUGAUUUUAAGGAGGACGUUUCAGAUUGCACCUGUCACUGGAAUCUUCCAGAGGAGACAAGAAGAAAAUCCACCUGCCGACCAUCUCACUGUUACUUUAAAAUCACUCUCAUAACAGAGUGGACAGAGUUUGCUUCACUGAACAAGUCAGCUCACAUUGAUCAGAAAUGUCAAACUCACCUCAGACGCGUGUAGUGAUGGAAGAAGAGGUCCCGUUGAAUACCGUACCAGGAACAGGCGACGCACAGAAUAAUGACACUUGUGAUGAAGUAGUAACCAGCAGCCCCGGACAGGACGCUGCUCUCUUCUGCACAGACAAGCAUCACAGGAAACUGGCCAUCUGCAGCAUCAUCUGUGGGCUCUCCUGCAUCGGAGUCAAAGCUCUGAUAUACUCAGUCAAGGCCGAGAUGUCGAAUGAUCCAGUGGCAGUUCAGAAGUUUUCACAAAAGGCGAGAAAAUUCAGCAUCAUCUCCAUCGUGACUUGGGUCUUCAUUCUGGCAUCAUUUCCCUUGUUAAUGGGACUGAUCUCAUAUCUUCUCACUUUGCUAGACUGAUCAACGUGUGCAGAAAAGAACCAGUGGAGUGGCUCUUCUGACUUGGGAUGUUAAUGGAGACAGACAGUUGACAGUACAAAGCUGCUUAUCAACAAACUGGAAGUUACAUGGACAUAAAAAAGACUGCAGUAGUCUUUCUUGUGCUGACUGCGGUCCCAAUUUAGGUUUAGAAUCUUUUACACAAGGAACAAUCACCCUAGAACGUAUUAAAAUUCUGGCAACUUUUACAUGUUUUUAUAUGCUGUAAUAUUUAUUCAACAAUAUAUGAACAUAUGGACAUUACCAAAUUUAAAUGAACAUAUAAAAUCCAGCAUUGCCUAUCGUUUUAAACAUGACACUACAUGACACAUAUACAUUAUAUAUUAAAGAUCAGGCCUGUCAUCCUCCAGAAAUGACCCAAUCCUUAAUAUUUCUUACAGUUUAACAUACUGUCAUUCUUAGUUACUGUAUGUACUUGCAGAUACUACAAAAGUUAAUAAAUUAGUCAAUCUGUAAAUCUCUACUGUAACAACAUACAUGUAUUUAUAAAGGAUUGGGUCUGUGCUGGAAAUAAAAUGGCAUGGCAGUGACGGUGGCAGUGCUUCACCAGGACGUUACAAGAAGCUGCUCUUGUUGCGCCAACAUUAUCUUGGCAUUAUUGCAUUGUUACCGUAUUAGCUUUAUUAUUGUCAAAUGUAUCUGUAUGUUGUACUUUUAUACAAACAUAUAAACAGACGAUUUUAUAAUAAAAUGACAAAGAAAAGC